AGAUUGAACGCUGGCGGCAUGCCUAACACAUGCAAGUCGAACGGGAGUAGCAAUACUCUAGUGGCGGACGGGUGAGGAAUACGUAGGAAUUUGCCCUUAAGUGGGGGAUAACCCGGGGAAACCCGGAUUAAUACCGCAUGACCUCGAAAGAGCAAAGUGGGGGAUCGCAAGACCUCACGCUUUUGGAGAAGCCUACGUCGGAUUAGCUAGUUGGUGAGGUAAUGGCUCACCAAGGCGACGAUCCGUAACUGGUCUGAGAGGAUGAUCAGUCACACCGGAACUGAGACACGGCCCAGACUCCUACGGGAGGCGAGCAGUGGGGAAUUUGGACAAUGGGCGCAAGCCUGAUCCAGCCAUUCCGCGUGCAGGAUGAAGGCCCUCGGGUUGUAAACGUGUCGUUUUGGAACGGAACGUAAAAGCCGCUACUCUAAUACGAGGCGUCAGUGACGGUACCGUCAAGAAUAAGCACCGGCUAACGUACGUGCCAGCAGCCGC
rnacentral:rRNA from 1 species